UCCUUGGUGGUCCAGUGGUUAAGACUCUGUGCUCCUAAUGUAGGGGGCCCAGGUUCGAUUCUUGGUCAGGGAA
rfam:TPA: Bos taurus chromosome 15, whole genome shotgun sequence.